AGAGAGAAGCGAUACCGCGAGGAGGAGCAAAUUUGAAAAAAGACGUCCCUAGUUCGGAUUGUAGGCUGAAACUCGCCUACAUGAAGCUGGAAUUGCUAGUAAUCACAGGUCAGCAUACUGUGGUGAAUACGUUCCCGGGCCUUGUACACACCGCCCGUCACACCAUGAGAGUCGGGAACACCCGAAGUCCGUAGUCUAACCGCAAGGGGGGCGCGGCCGAAGGUGGGUCCGGUAAUUGGGGUGAAGUCGUAACAAGGUAAC
rnacentral:rRNA from 1 species